rnacentral:rRNA from 1 species
GACGAACGCUGGCGGCGUGCUUAACACAUGCAAGUCGAACGGAAAGGCCCUGCUUGCUGGGUGCUCGAGUGGCGAACGGGUGAGUAACACGUGGGUGAUCUGCCGUGCACUUCGGGGUAGGCCUGGGAAACUGGGUCUAAUACCGGAUAGCAGCCAUCCUGAGGGUGAUGGUUGGAGAGUUUUUUCGGUGUAGGAUGAGCUCGCGGCCUAACGGCUUGUUGGUGGGGUAAUGGCCUACCAAGGCGGCGACGGGUAGCCGGCCUGUGAGUGUGGACGGCCACACUGGGACCGAGGGACGGCCCAGGCGCGGAAGGGUGGCAGAAGGGGGGAAGAUUGCACAAGGGGCGCAAGGCGUAUGAAGAGACGCCGCGGGGGGGAUGGCGGUCUUCGGGUGGUAAAAUCGGUUCGCGAGGGACGAAGCUGUUUGUGACGGUACCGAGAGAAGAAGCACCGGCUAACUACGUG